UACGUAGGGCGCAAGCGUUAUCCGGAAUUAUUGGGCGUAAAGAGCUCGUAGGCGGUUUGUCGCGUCUGCCGUGAAAGUCCGGGGCUCAACUCCGGAUCUGCGGUGGGUACGGGCAGACUAGAGUGAUGUAGGGGAGACUGGAAUUCCUGGUGUAGCGGUGAAAUGCGCAGAUAUCAGGAGGAACACCGAUGGCGAAGGCGAGUCCCUGGACAACACCUGACACUGAGGCACGAAAGCUAGGGGAGCAAACAGG
rnacentral:rRNA from 1 species